GAUGAACGCUGGCGGCGUGCCUAAUACAUGCAAGUCGAGCGAACGGACGAGAAGCUUGCUUCUCUGAUGUUAGCGGCGGACGGGUGAGUAGCACGUGGAUAACCUACCUAUAAGACUGGGAUAACUUCGGGAAACCGGAGCUAAUACCGGAUAAUAUUUUGAACCGCAUGGUUCAAAAGUGAAAGACGGUCUUGCUGUCACUUAUAGAUGGAUCCGCGCUGCAUUAGCUAGUUGGUAAGGUAACGGCUUACCAAGGCAACGAUGCAUAGCCGACCUGAGAGGGUGAUCGGCCACACUGGAACUGAGACACGGUCCAGACUCCUACGGGAGGCAGCAGUAGGGAAUCUUCCGCAAAGGGCGAAAGCCUGACGGAGCAACGCCGCGUGAGCGAUGAAGGUCUUCGGAUCGUAAAACUCUGUUAUUAGGGAAGAACAUAUGUGUAAGUAACUGUGCACAUCUUGACGGUACCUAAUCAGAAAGCCACGGCUAACUACGUG
rnacentral:rRNA from 1 species